AGCGGAGGAAAAGAAACCAACCGGGAUUGCCUCAGUAACGGCGAGUGAAGCGGCAAGAGCUCAAAUUUGAAAGCUGGGGGUUUAAGCCCUCCGCGUUGUAAUUUGAAGAACGCUACUCUGGGAGGGGCCGCCUGUCUAUGUUCCUUGGAACAGGACGUCACAGAGGGUGAGAAUCCCGUCUGGCGGGUGUUUGCCUCUUCCAUGUAGAGGGUGUUUGACGAGUCGAGUUGUUUGGGAAUGCAGCUCUAAGUGGGUGGUAAAUUCCAUCUAAAGCUAAAUACUGGCGAGAGACCGAUAGCGAACAAGUACAGUGAUGGAAAGAUGAAAAGAACUUUGAAAAGAGAGUGAAAAAGUACGUGAAAUUGUUGAAAGGGAAGGGUAUUAGAUCAGACUUGGCAUUGGGGUUUCUUGAUUCCUUGUGGAGAGAGUUCUACCCUUUUGUCAGGCCAGCGUCGAUUCGCGCGGCGGGAGAAGUUUCUGGGGAUGUGGCUGCUGGUUUUCCAGCAGUGUUAUAACCCGGGGGGAUGCCGCCUGUGUGGAUCGAGGAGUGCGGCUGUAUAGCCUAGGAUGCUGACGUAAUGAUCUAAUAUCGCCCGUCUU
rnacentral:rRNA from 1 species